CCUGAGAAACCUUUAGCUUUCCCUGUGACUUCUGGGUUCCUUGGAAUGCAAAGCCCCAGGUGAGGAUGCAAGUGAAACAGCUGCUGAAAGUGCCAUGGGUUACAGCCUCGUUCCAGGAGCGGUCACCUUAAAGCAGAGAUGGCGCUGUACUUCCACCGCAACACUAUGAAUCACCCUUCUGACCCUCUGCUACCAACAGAAAAUAGACAGGAGACUUCAUUCCUCUGGGGACCGGGGAAAGAAAAUGCGGAGCGGGGAGGAGCGGGGUCGCUGCACACUGGCGCCCGAGCGCUGCCCCGUGCUGUGACCGCCACCAGUGCCACCCUGCUCCCACCGAGGGCCUUCCCUGGCUGUCAGGCUGACGUGCAGAAAGGCUCCAUCGGACUCCAGAGAAAAGCAGCUCCUGCGAUAAAAGGCGUGGUAAGGAUGUCCUUACCGAGCACUGUAAGUGUGUCGGGUUAGGGACGGCUGUGAGGCUUUAUUCCAUCUCCCCUGGGCAGAUGUUUUCCGCACAGCCUUCAAUAGCACGGUCACGCGUUUCUUAUUCUGCCUGCUGCCUUCCUCUGCUGGCUGUGGGAGCUGGUUAGAAAUGUUCAUCUCACUGAUCGCCGUUGUGAAAUACGGCUGUGAUUAAAGAGAGGGUUUUUUUCCUUGGGAAAUUGUAUUGAUGUCAAAAAAGCCAUUAAUAGAAGGCAUUUAGAAUGGAAGUUCAUGCUUUUUAACACGAACGUUUUGCAUUUGCUCCCUAGCUGUAGAGUUGAUUUUCCUUUGAAUUGGGAAGAGUUUUACAUUAACAAGUUUGAAACAGAGGGUUGAUCUAAGAACGAGACCUUCCAUUUGCCCCGCAGCAGUGUUCUCACCCUGAGCUCAUUCAGAACACAACUUGCAUUGUGCUUUUUCUCGUUCCGUUUGGACUGAGGGGAUGAAAUGGUGACCUUUUUUUCCCCAAUCCUUCUCAAACGCCAUCCUCAGCACCACGCCGUGCCGUUCGGCCAGUGCUCGGACUGCCUGAAGAGGGCUUCCCGCGGGAGCUGAGUGUUGGUGAGCACGCACAGAGCCUGCGGGGACCGAAAACAGCCCGGAAAAACAAAGCCACGGGCCCGGCUGCAAGGUGGGAAUCUCUCGCCUCGCAUCUUCCGUGAGGCAGCGCAGGAAGCUGGAGACAGCAGGCACCGUGCCCCUUACUUUCUGUACGUGGGCUGUAGGGCUGAUGUGUGGAAGGGCAGGUAACUUCAGACCAAAGUUGCCAGGAGGCUUAACUCGGCAUGUUAAACUCAGUGAGAUGCUAAAUGCCCUGGGGAUGAUGGGGCCAGGGGUGUUUGAAGUAGUGCAGAAGUAGUGGUUACGGUUGGCAGCUUUAGCUUUAAUCUCCCUGCGCCUCAGUUUCUCACUUUUGUACACGGCAGUGGUGAUGCACGGCGGUGUUACGCUGAGAAAUCCAUCAGUUCUGAAGCCUUCAGCUACCUUGGUUAGAAAACUUGAGCCAGGUUCAAGAGGAAAUGAGCACUUUUCUGUUUGACACAGGAUUUGGAUGUUGUGUACUAAAUAAUAAUUAGGGUCAUAAAAGUCUGCAGUGAACAAUUAUCCAUUCAGCGAACAAGGCAGGUGUCUGGGGGAAAAAAUAGGAGGCAAUUGGGUAAUUAGACUGCACCGUAACGUGUGAGCACAAGUGGGCCUAAUAAAAUUUGCACAGGCAAUUUUAAAUCUGGCAAGUUGUUCCCUCUGAGCACCUGACUUGGAAACCCGCAUUACUUUUCAGCAUCAGUUUUGAUGUAACACCACGUUACUGAUUACAAACAAUCCCGCUCUGCUUUCGGGCUGAAGCUCGGGCACUGGAACGCUCCGAGGUGUGGAAGACACCGAAGGGAAGAGAUGGGAGGUGGUGUGGGAUGGGAAAUGGCUGGCUGGAGCAAAGGUCGAGCUGGCUGUGCUGCACCCCCCUCCUCCUCCCCUUCCGAGCCAGUUAACCAAACAUCCAGCCCCCGGGGAAAGCAGCAACUGGAGGGGGAUCCCUUUGCCGCUGUGCGAAUGGAUCCCCAGGAUCAGAAGGGCUCUGGGGGAGAGCCCUGAUGAGGCGCAGUGGCGAGGGGGCCGUGUUGGCAGUGCUGCGUUGCCGUCCCUGCCGCAGUGCUCGCGGAGGGGAGGGAGGGCGGCGCAGCCACCGGGGCUGGGUGCAGGCUGUGCCGCUCCCGCGCUGGGGGAAAAUGUUUCAUCUCCAAUAACCACUUGUCUCAUUAUCUGGCUGUGCUAGCUCUGCGCUAUCUGGUUACCGCCUGGCUUGGAGACACCUGUUCUGUGUCCAAGCAUUUUAGAGAAAAACCAUCCAAAGCUGUCAACAGACGGAGGAAGGCUGCCUGUUUCCAUGGGAACGUGCUCUGCCGAGCCCUGAGCAUCACAAGCUGCUCCCCACGCUGCACAAGUGCUGGACGUUGCUGGAGGAGCCGGGGGGAGACCAUCCCUGCUGUUAUUUUUGGGGUACAGCAUCCUUGGGCAGCCGGCAUGGCUGAGCGGGAUGCAGGAGGCUGUCUGUGGAGGGAACAGGACAGGACAGGGCAGGGCAGCUGUGCCCAGAGCCCGCAGAAGCACUCAGCAUCAGGGAUGGAAAAGUCAGGGGUAGCUCGUCGCUGUGGGAUGCUGAAGUAGUAUUCUGGGGAGGGAUUUUUCAGCUGCAUGCUCUGCAUCUCUUCUGAGUGAGGAAGAAAGGUCUUGUGCUGCAGCCUCAAGUGUGCAUCGUGUGCCCUCUGUUCCCUCGUGCUGCUGUUGGCUGUGUGAGGACGGAUCCGGCCGAGGCAGGUGGCACUGUGCCUCUCCGAGGUCACUUCAAUGCACGCUCGUCAUCCACGCUUUUCGGCUCUCGAAGACUCCAGAUCGAUUCAUGAUGUUUCAGCAAAGAGACCUUAUGCUAAUGCAUCUACAGCCUUCUUCAGAUGUCCUCAGAGAGAGGAUGUGCAAAGUCUUUUCCACGUGCAGAAAUGGCUAGGAGUCACCUCCAAAUCCUUAAUUAGUGGGCUGCAAGUCCCAGCUCGAGGAUGGCAGAGCUGAACUUCCGACUGCAACAGGCAACCUCUCAGUUAGAGCUGCCCUGGCAUCAUAAAUGGUUUUAUGGAAAGCAGCUUACGUGAUGUUGGUGCUCAGAAGAGCUAUGUGGAGGUCCGGAGAAUUAGAGACUGGAACUGGGAUCACUGGAGAAAGAAAGAAUAGGAUCAGCAGAUGCAUGGAUAAGUAGGACAGCAGGUUCUUUGGAAGGGGCGGGCAUCACGCUUUGCAAAUCUCCUUAGAAAUCUUUGAAGGCAUCAGGGAGCGUGUAGACAAGGUAAAUCCAGUUGAUAAAACCCCCUUAGAUUUCUGCAAGGCUUUUGAUCAGCUUCCCCAAUGGAGGUUGUUAAGGAAACUAAGCCACUGUGGGCUAGGAGGAAAGGUCACUUGGUGGAGAGCCGCCUAAAGGAACCUAACGGGGGGAAGGAUGCUCACCUCUGCGAGGGAGGGAGCCAGCGGCGGCGCUGGGCAGGGAUCUGUGCCGGCAGCUGCCCUGCUCCGUGUGUGCCUGGAGGGUCGGGAAGAGGAGUCGGGAGUGAGCGUAAAGACUGAUGGUGAUGGGAAGGGUCAUAACAGAGAAAGCCAACUCAUGAGGCUGAGCGACGAGGCAAUAAGCAGCGGGUGGAAUUCAGCGCAGAUAAACGCGGAGUGAUGCACAUGGGGAAGGACAGUUGUCGCUUUACAUACAAAAUGAUGAGUUCGGAGCUGGGAUCUCAUUCCUCAGCGAGCCUCGGGAGCUGCCAUAAUUUAUUCUGCAGAAAUGGCAUUGCAGAGCCCAGCAACUGUCAAAAUGAAGGAGGAUUGGUGGGAAAGGAUCAGAGACCAAAACAGAACGCUGCUGAGCUGCGUCCUGUCUGCUGAGCGCAGCCCUGUACCGCCAGCUCGGAAAGGGCUUGUGGAGCUGGGAGAGGCGCAGGGAGGAGCAGCGAGUGUUACCUACGUGGGAAGCACCUGAACGUGAGGAAUGAUUAAAUGGUUAAAUAGACUGGAAAUGAACCCGUGGAGCAGGUCGUGAGGCUCACGGCGCUCAUCAGAGUAGCAGGAGGUUUGGAGCAAGGAGAUGCUGUUAGGUGCUGCUCUCUUUUUCUUCCAGCACAAGAACUGUGGAGCAUCACACAAAACUAGAAGCUGGUGGAUUCAGAUGAAAGGAGAGACUGCUCUGUGCAACGUGUAGUUAGGGGGCUUGUAGCUACCUCGAACACUAAGUUCAACAACAUUUGUAAAAAUUCAUGGGGAGAAAUCCAUCUCUGGUACUCACAAAACACCUCUGGUCCCCAAUUGCAGGAGGCUGGAGGAGGAUAUUGGAGAAGCAUCGGCACAUUACCCUUUGCAGGGUAUCUUCAGGCUGGAUGCCCAGGUUGAUAGAUCUCUCAUCUGAUGUAACACGGCCAUCUUUCUGUAAAUGGAGGGAAAAAAAUUGGGAGUUACUUUCACGUUACUUUCAAGUUACUUGGUUUCCAUUUUAUACUGCGGUGUCUGGUUGUUAACUUAAAAAUUGCACAAGCUUCAGGUACCACUUUGUGCUUAUCACCAGUUUUUUUUUUUUUUCUAGGAGUUCAGGGCCCUUUAAAGGCUUAAGAAAACAAGUUCCUCUCUCCCUGAGCCUUCUGGCUUUCUUAAGUGAGAUGAGACAACGUGCAAAGGCGUCAGCCUUUUCUGCAGAACAGUGCCCUGUCAAGCAGGGAAAGAAGGAAAACCACUCUUGGGAGCACUUGUCACUUCUGUCUAUUAUUUCAGGUGUCUCAGGCUCCUGUCACAGAGUUUCAGAGCAGUUUGUUCCGUUUAUCUGAAGUUCUAGACCGAAGGAAAAGGCCAGGUGAAGAGGAGAUCAUUUACGUUGGAUGGCCGUGUUCCCAGAGGAGGAGAAAAAGUUCUGCUUGCUGCUAGUGAGUGCAGCUCCUACGACCCAUUCCCAACACAUACUGUAGUUAUCAAAGAUGCAUCUAGCCCAAAAUAAAGCCAGCAGGAGCUGUAUGCAGGUGUCGUGCUCAAGCCUGAAGUGCUGUAGGGAUGAUUCUGCAGCUUCUCGGUGAUUUUCAUUAGGAGUAUUUCUGCCUUAAUGCCCGCGAGCUAGCAUCGUGCACCGCCGCUCUCUUGCGUUAGACGCCGGAGGAGAAUGAGAGCAAAUAAGUCUAACUGAGGAAUAAGUCAUCGUAAUGUCAGAGAUAUUAGGUGCAAGCAUCCUGCUGCUGGGAUAGACACGCUUGGCCCCGGGUCAGUAAGGUGUAUGAUCACACCGCUGUGUGCUUCAUGCCGAGAAGGUGCUUUGGCGCGCUGCAAAUCUGGGGCCUAAUAACUCAUCCCUCGUCAAGGCACAGCAGCUCCCCGGCAGCGCCGGUGCUGGAUCCUCUCUGAAGUUCGGUGCCUUCUCCCCGGGAGCCCCAGGGGCUGGCCGUGGUGGUGGAAAUCAGCCGGACCCUGGCCCAAAGGAGGAGCCAGACGGUGAGAUAUGUUCUGCUGGGCUUCUGUUUUGGGGAAAAAAAAAGGCAAGCAAGAAAAUUUAAAUAUAAUAAUGAAAAAACAUGUAAUAAAAAGUUAGUUUUGCAGGAGGCUGACAGGGUUGGCGGAGUGUUCAUUAUAUGCUGUAUCAGUAAGUAUAUGAAAUGUCAGUGUGAAGGGAAUUCAUUUCCCAGUAACAAGCGUGACAGACUAUUGAAUUGAACUGAGAGGGUGUCUGCAGGCGGCAGGGUGAUGAAGCCCUCAUCAGAAUUUCACUUCGCCGGAGUUUACUUGAAGAGUGUUUUCAUUUUAGCUUUUAAAAGUCCAAUUUUCUGCCUAAAGCAGAGACUCCUUGGUCAAGGCGUUCAGCGUUUGUGGAUCACGGUGGCCCUGCGAACAUCCUGGCCUCCCUGCCUGGCCGCAGGGCAAUCCUCCCCUUCUUUUGUCCUCUCUCAUUUUUUUGGUAGUGUUUUACCUCUGCCAUGCUCAGCUCGUCCCCCUGAAUAGCCACUGAGCUGUGCUCAGGUUUUGAGGACCUUGUGCCUUGUGUGCCGUGGAAAACCUCAGAUGGAGCAGCCCUUUCCUGCCACGGAGGCUCUGCGCCCAGUGGCUGUGUGCAGGGGAGAGGAUCAUAACCUCGAGGGGUGGGGACAGGGGACAGCAGAGAUGGGGAAUAGGGAGCAGAAGGGAAUGAGCCAAGCACAGGAAUGCAGGUUUAUAGGGAAUUGGCAAGCAAGGAGUAAGUCUGGACUACAUACAGAGGCGUGGGUCUUGUCCAAACCCUCCUCAGCAGGGUCAGGCUGAGGGUGGGGAUUAUGCCGGCUGUGGACAUCAGUCAACACAAAAGCAAAUCCACGCGCCCAUGUCACAGCCCCGCCGAAGGGGAGCUGCACGCAGAGAAGGAAGCGAUAGGGCUGGCAAUUAGGGGCUGCUCCACCUCCGAGCGCCGGCAGGCUGGCGGCGAGGACGGCGUACCUCGGGGGCCC